UCUGUCUGGUUGCGCUGGUGAAAAGGAACCACAUCAACCCAGCAAAAGGAUUUGGUCCCCUUCAACCAGCCGCAACUGGCCAGGAUU
rnacentral:pre_miRNA from 1 species